AAAAAAAAUGUUAAAAUUUAUUUAGUUUAUCUGUUUGUUAAGGCUACUUAUUUUAUAGGAUUAAUUAUAUAUAAGUCCCUAUAAAUAUAGUGAAUAAUAAAUAUAUUUUUUAAAAAUUUAACUUUUAUAUAUUGUUCCUCAGAAGUUCUGUAUAUUUUUAAAUAUGUUUCUAUCGUUAGAAUUCGUUAGAAAAUUUUAGUUAACCUAGGUUAACUACAUAAUUCUGAUUAGUUAAUGAGAUGAAUUGACAUUUUUAUUUUUUUUAAUUAACAAUUAAAAUUUUUUAAAUGACAUAUUUAUAAAGACAAAAAAAUUAUUUCAUACAAACUAAAAAUACAUAUUCACAAAAAUUAAAAUUUUUACCGGAACAAUAUAUAAAAGUUAAAUUUGAUAGGGAUAUAUUUAUAGUUCACUAUAUUUGCAGAGAUCUGGAUUUAUAGUGAUUAGAAGGUAUAAUUUUUUUUAACUCUUUUUCUAAUUAUAUAAUUUCAGGAAAAAAAAAAAAAAAGAGUUAAGAGAUAUAAUAAAAAAGAGCACUGAAAGUU
rnacentral:lncRNA from 1 species